CCUUCGUUGCCCCCUCCCAUCGAUCCCAUCUACCCACGCCGCCGCCGUCCGAGGGGGAGACGACGACGCCGCCGCCUCUGCAAGGCAGGGCGGUUUGAAUCCCGCCGCCGCCGAACUCCGGGAAACGCCCGACGGCGUACCCUGGAAGGCCUGGAUCAAGGAGGAGCACAGGUAUACCCUGCCACCAAAAUCUCAAUUGCAAUCGACGCAUUAAAGCAGGACUCCCCGAUCCGUCAGACAGAUCCUGCCGUUGGCCGCGACCCUCGUCGUCUACCUCCACCGGCCAUCCCGCACACCCUUGCUCUCCGUGCGUCGCGCCAUUCCCCACCCCGUUGUGCCCCGCCUCUGUCCUAACCGUCGAAAUCGGCCUCGCCGGCGGCGCCGCUCCCGUGUGCUUCGUGCUCCUGCGCUGCUGCCGUCGCGAUGUCCGGGGGAUCCAUGGCGGCCAGCUGCUUGUCAACCACAACGAGCGGAGGUAGCGAGUUGGAUUUGGCCACGCCUGAGCGAUUUCGUGGCCGCGGCAUAGCGGCGCGGUGGCCGGGGGUCGCGGCGUCCCAUGUGGGUGCAAUGGUCACGGCAGCAGGCACACACGGCGGUGGUCGCGCAUGGGGCUGCGCUGGUCUGUGACCACAUGGUGGCGGUAGAAGGUCGUCUUCCCAGAGCACCGCACGCUGGCCGCCGUCUCCAUCGGCGGCCGCACCAACAAGACAGACUGUAUAAUUCGGAUGGGUCUUCUUCUACAUGGUGACUAUUGACGCAAAGAAGGAUUGCACUUCGUUCCCAUCUUCUACAUAGCCUAUACGAGGAAUAUGAAAAGGAGAUCAAUCACACCAGGUCCCACGAGCUCAUGAUGACCCAAAUUAUGUUAGUGUCGGUACGUUUAGUUGGUGAUGGUUUAGCGGGAGCGACAACUGCAUCUGUAACUUACGUAACUUACCCAUUGGAUGUUGUUCGAACUCGCUUGACAACACAGGUAACGUCCGUGAUGUGUCCUGUUUAACUCUUUGGGAUGUUCAGUCCAUUGCUUAUAUUGCUGGUACAGGAGGGUGAGGCAGUGUCAAAGCUACUUAGCAUUCUAAGAUUGUGAACCAGUAUAUGGGUUUGCACAUCUGAGUGCUGGUGAUCUUCUUCGCGAAGAAGUUAAAUGUGAUAUGGAGCAGAUUAAAAUUGACCAUGAGCUCGUACUAUUAAUUGAUGGCUCAAGGGAAGAGACAGCGGCAUAUUCUUAGUUGAAAUCAGUUUGAUGUUUUUCAGGAAUGAAUUCCACUCGUUAUUCAAUACCACUAUGAGAAAAGUAGUGAAAUGCUGGCCGUCUGCAAAAUGUACUGGUCCGUCUCGCGGUCUCACCCCAAAAACAGAGGAGAGGAGCAGGGAGCUCCUCCCUCACACUUGUCGGCUCCAAGGAGCCCCGCCACCAUGCAUGGAGAAGAGGAGCGCGGAGCUCCGCCGCCGCGUAAGGCAAACCAAGGCUGCAACGUUUGAAUAUUAUACUCAGUCAGUUGCUCGACUACUUACAGUCCUAUUACUUGAGACUUAAUACUCGGUCAGCUGCCGUGUACAUUGUUCUGACAUAAAUGCCACCAUGUCUAUGCGCAAGUCAGAAGGAACUUACCAUCUAAAAAGAUGUCUAAUUAGUGUGGUACAUGCUUCAGUACUGCAAGUUGGAGUAGCAAUGCCUACCUGCACAUUGAUGCUCAUACCUGACGGUGAGAGAAGUUGCAUCUUGAGAUUCAAUUCUUUGAUUUAUGAUGCCCAGCCAUAUGCACAAUGAGAACAUAUAUCCUUUUUCUAAUCUCUGUUUUUCUAAGUUGAAACUAUUUCUUUGUUACUUGGUUUGAGGACGGCAAAAGACUGGCCUUUUGCCGGACAGAGAAAAGACCGGCUUAUUUUAUUUUAACACAACAUAGCAAGCUCCAUAUAUUUCAGUUAGUACAUGGCAGGAUGCAGACUAUGUGCAGUAUUAGUGGUGUUUAGACUCCAAAAUGGCAGUAUUAGUGGUGUUUUAAAGAGAAAGAUUCGUAAAUGAUGUUGUUUUCUACUAAGAAAAUUCAGUAGUCGGUGUCACCAUUGAGUGCCAAUGUGAUGGGCAUUUAAGAUUUAGAUUCAGAACUCCAGGGUUCAACACAGAUGGCUUCACUUCAAUAUUUUUCCCCAUGUGGUUGAUGGAUGCUUCACUUAAGUUUUGAUGCAUCGUGUAUACUGAAUCCUACAUUAUGUUGAGAAAUUUAGAUAUAUAAAAGUAUCUGUAAGCCGACCACAUACCACACAUUUUAAAGGUUUAUUUUCUCUACAUCUGUACUAGCUUUGAACCAAGUAUUUCUACUUUCUUUUUAUUUGUUGCCAAAAAUUAAGGAAUGUUGAUCUGAUGUAUUUUUACAACAAUCAGCGUGUUGACGUGGAGCUUGUCCAUUCGCGACAUACCUUGUUUAUGUGGGAGGGCUGGAUGAUUGAAAGUCGGACGUACCAUUAACGACGGUUGUGAGCAUGGAUUGGGGAGACGAAGAUUAUGGGAGCACAAGAAAGAAAAGAAGAAGAAAACACGUUGCGGAGCGUGGCGGCCUCCCAGUUCUUGGCCUCUGUCGGGUGGCUAGACCACGCCACAUAGAAGACGAGGGUUAUCUCAGUUAGGGGCCUCGGCAACGACGACGAGAAUGGCCAGGUCGAAAUCACAGGUGCGUGACGGCUGGAGACGGCCGCAGGGUCCAGAGAUGGGGCGCACGGCGGAUGUGUUCUACUUCCCAUUGAGAGAAUUCUGGCCAAAUCAGAGGAUGCAGGUUGUACCAUUGAAGAGAGAAAAUUAUGAGAAAACUACAAUAUAUGAGAGGCUUGGUUGAUACCUUCAGAAAAGCUACAUCCCAAUAAUGUUGUGGGUUACACCUUCUGGCUUGAAAAUCAGCUUCAUAACAAGAAAGUUGCAACACUAUAUUGGUGGAUAAUUGCAUUAAAUAAAUACUGUAAUGGUGCAUUUGUUUUUAGAUUUCUAUUAACCUGGUACCAAAAAGUUGGAGAGCAAGGACCUUAUAUCAGUGGUGUUUAUACUCCAAAAUUGCAGUAUCGGUGGUGUUUAUACUCCAAAAUUGCAGUAUCAGUGGUGUUUAGAUUCCAAAACCUAUCUAGAGUAAUCUGUCAUUUGUUCUUCAAAGAGAUUGCGUAUAUGUUACCCCAUGUCAGGUUCAGUACCUCUGGGUUCAAGAUCUAUAGCUACAAGUAUUUUUGACUAGAUUGUGGUCAUAUAUGUGCUAAUUCAUGCUGAUACGCAUGCUCUUUGAACUUUUGAAAGGAAUGGAUGAAAUCAUCAUCAGAGCUUCUGCAAAUGGGAUCUCUCCUGUAAGCCCUGCUAUAGUUACUUCACUGGUUUGAACUUUGAGUAACUUGAUAUAUGUGUCUCGCAGACAAAAAUAUUUUUAUUUAUUAGUUGUACUAGUACAAAUGCCCGUGCGUUGCACCGGGCGAAAAAUUAAAUAUAACCUGCUCGAUGUGCCAUUA